ensembl:lncRNA
AUCUUCAUCAUCAUCAUCAUCAUCAUCAUCAUCAUCAUCAUCAGAUCAGAAUGCUGUGUUUGAUGGUCAUUGGAUUUCUUUUAUCCUGUGCAGAUUGUACCAAGUCAUAUGAGAAAAAUAUUCUACACCAGAUGAACAGAACUGCUUUUAAGGGGGAAACUGUUGUUUUUCACUGCAAUGGAACUCUGACUAGUGAACUUAAAGAUAUUGGUUGGCGUAAAGAUAGGAAUGGUAUUUUUAUCCACAGCUCAGUUACAAACCAAAGUGUGUUCAACUACACAUCGAGCAGGAUGCAGGUUAAUCCCCGAAAUCCAAGAGAACUGCAGAUAUCUGAUGUACAGCUUUCAGAUAAAGGAUUAUACUUAUGUUUUCCAUUAGACAUGCAGUGGAUAUUGACCAUAGAAGCUUUAUCUUUUGACACCACAGAGAAUGAAAUACAGACCAGCAAAGGAAGGCUAUCCUACAUAGUUUUCUCAGUAAUCACAGUGUGUGUCUCAGUGUGUCUCUUUAUCUUCUGUGCCGUGUGUCUUCACAGAAAACAAGAAAACAGAGGAGCCUCAGAUCAAACACACACGGGCAAUAAGCUUGCAAACACAGAUUCUCUCCAUCACAGUGAGACAAUAACUUCCUGUGUCUACAUCAUGACAAGCUCAAAUAAUGUUGCCAUAGACUAAAAUUGAGCAACAUGUCGCCAUCACGUCCUUCUACAGAAAUGUUUCUAUGAUGCUCAUAUUCACAGGCAUAUAAACCUUUUUACUGUGCAAUGAAAUCUGGAUAAUUAAAACAUUUAGAAAACAGUCUUGUCAUAUGUUUGUUGCUCAAAUAUAACAGUCAAAUGCUUAUUGAAAAAAAAAAAAGGAAUAAAGUUUAAAGAACGCUUAAUUAGAUUAGUGGAAAAACUGCA